rnacentral:rRNA from 1 species
AGUGAACGCUGGCGGUAGGCCUAACACAUGCAAGUCGAACGGCAGCACAGUAAGAGCUUGCUCUUACGGGUGGCGAGUGGCGGACGGGUGAGGAAUACAUCGGAAUCUACUUUUUCGUGGGGGAUAACGUAGGGAAACUUACGCUAAUACCGCAUACGACCUACGGGUGAAAGCAGGGGAUCUUCGGACCUUGCGCGAUUGAAUGAGCCGAUGUCGGAUUAGCUAGUUGGCGGGGUAAAGGCCCACCAAGGCGACGAUCCGUAGCUGGUCGGAGAGGAUGAUCGGCCACACUGGAACUGAGACACGGUCCAGACUCCUACGGGAGGCAGCAGUGGGGAAUAUUGGACAAUGGGCGCAAGCCUGGUCCAGCCAUACCGCGUGGGUGAAGGAGGCGUUCGGGUUGUAAAGCCCUUUUGUUGGGAAAGAAAAGCAGCAGGUUAAUACCCCGCUGUUCUGACGGUACCCAAAGAAUAAGCACCGGCUAACUUCGUG